UACGUAGGGAGCAAGCGUUGUCCGGAAUUACUGGGCGUAAAGGGCGUGUAGGCGGCCGAUCAAGUCAGGUGUGAAAUUUCAGGGCUCAACCCUGAGCGUGCACUUGAAACUGGUUGGCUUGAGUGCAGAAGAGGAAAGUGGAAUUCCCAGUGUAGCGGUGAAAUGCGUAGAUAUUGGGAGGAACACCAGUGGCGAAGGCGACUUUCUGGUCUGUAACUGACGCUGAGGCGCGAAAGCUAGGGGAGCGAACAGGAUUAGAUACCCUGGUAGUCCUAGCCGUAAACGAUGGGUACUAGGUGUAGGGGGUUUAGACGCCCUCUGUGCCGCAGUUAACACAUUAAGUACCCCGCCUGGGGAGUACGGCCGCAAGGCUGAA
rnacentral:rRNA from 1 species